UACGUAGGGUGCGAGCGUUAAUCGGAAUUACUGGGCGUAAAGCGUGCGCAGGCGGCUUUGCAAGACAGAUGUGAAAUCCCCGGGCUUAACCUGGGAACUGCAUUUGUGACUGCAUGGCUGGAGUGCGGCAGAGGGGGAUGGAAUUCCGCGUGUAGCAGUGAAAUGCGUAGAUAUCGGAAGGAACACCAGUGGCGAAAGCGGCUUCCUGGUCCAGCACCGACGUUCAGGCACGAAAGCGUGGGGAGCAAACGGG
rnacentral:rRNA from 1 species